rnacentral:misc_RNA from 1 species
GGUGAAGAACGCAGCGAAAUGCGAUACGUAGUGUGAAUUGCAGAAUUCAGUGAAUCAUCGAAUCUUUGAACGCACAUUGCACCUCUCGGUAUUCCGGGAGGUAUGCCUGUUCGAGCGUCAUUUGUACCCUCAAGCUCUGCUUGGUGUUGGGUGUUUGUUCCGCCUCUGUGUGUGAACUCGCCUCAAAACAAUUGGCAGCCGGCGUACUUGUUUCGGAGCGCAGCACAUUUUGCGAUCCAGAUCAACGUACAGCGGCAUCCAAGAAGCCUUAUUUAACGCUCUUGACCUCGGAUCAGGUAGGGAUACCCGCUGAACUUAAGCAUAUCAAUAAGCGGAGGA